rnacentral:rRNA from 1 species
GACGAACGCUGGCGGCGUGCCUAAUACAUGCAAGUAGAACGCUGAAGAGAGGAGCUUGCUCUUCUUGGAUGAGUUGCGAACGGGUGAGUAACGCGUAGGUAACCUGCCUUGUAGCGGGGGAUAACUAUUGGAAACGAUAGCUAAUACCGCAUAACAAUGGAUGACACAUGUCAUUUAUUUGAAAGGGGCAAAUGCUCCACUACAAGAUGGACCUGCGUUGUAUUAGCUAGUAGGUGAGGUAACGGCUCACCUAGGCGACGAUACAUAGCCGACCUGAGAGGGUGAUCGGCCACACUGGGACUGAGACACGGCCCAGACUCCUACGGGAGGCAGCAGUAGGGAAUCUUCGGCAAUGGGGGCAACCCUGACCGAGCAACGCCGCGUGAGUGAAGAAGGUUUUCGGAUCGUAAAGCUCUGUUGUAAGUCAAGAACGAGUGUGAGAGUGGAAAGUUCACACUGUGACGGUAGCUUACCAGAAAGGGACGGCUAACUACGUGCCAGCAGCCGCGGUAAUACGUAGGUCCCGAGCGUUGUCCGGAUUUAUUGGGCGUAAAGCGAGCGCAGGCGGUUUGAUAAGUCUGAAGUUAAAGGCUGUGGCUCAACCAUAGUUCGCUUUGGAAACUGUCAAACUUGAGUGCAGAAGGGGAGAGUGGAAUUCCAUGUGUAGCGGUGAAAUGCGUAGAUAUAUGGAGGAACACCGGUGGCGAAAGCGGCUCUCUGGUCUGUAACUGACGCUGAGGCUCGAAAGCGUGGGGAGCGAACAGGAUUAGAUACCCUGGUAGUCCACGCCGUAAACGAUGAGUGCUAGGUGUUGGAUCCUUUCCGGGAUUCAGUGCCGCAGCUAACGCAUUAAGCACUCCGCCUGGGGAGUACGACCGCAAGGUUGAAACUCAAAGGAAUUGACGGGGGCCCGCACAAGCGGUGGAGCAUGUGGUUUAAUUCGAAGCAACGCGAAGAACCUUACCAGGUCUUGACAUCCCGAUGCUAUUUCUAGAGAUAGAAAGUUACUUCGGUACAUCGGUGACAGGUGGUGCAUGGUUGUCGUCAGCUCGUGUCGUGAGAUGUUGGGUUAAGUCCCGCAACGAGCGCAACCCCUAUUGUUAGUUGCCAUCAUUCAGUUGGGCACUCUAGCGAGACUGCCGGUAAUAAACCGGAGGAAGGUGGGGAUGACGUCAAAUCAUCAUGCCCCUUAUGACCUGGGCUACACACGUGCUACAAUGGUUGGUACAACGAGUUGCGAGUCGGUGACGGCAAGCUAAUCUCUUAAAGCCAAUCUCAGUUCGGAUUGUAGGCUGCAACUCGCCUACAUGAAGUCGGAAUCGCUAGUAAUCGCGGAUCAGCACGCCGCGGUGAAUACGUUCCCGGGCCUUGUACACACCGCCCGUCACACCACGAGAGUUUGUAACACCCGAAGUCGAAGAGGUAACCUUUUGGAGCCAGCCGCCUAAGGU